rnacentral:lncRNA from 1 species
AUUCACUAAGUCAUGCGUGAUCAUCAAAUCAUUUGAUUAAUUCCCUUACUCUUACAGGACCUGCCUCCCAGGGGAAUACGGUAGUGCUGAGAAGAGGGUGUGGACGGACUAAGGGCUGAAGGUGUCCUGGAGACGGGGUGGCGAUGGUGAGUGUGCUUGCUGAGCCCAGGAGACGGACCGCAGCACCGGGCACUCGGGUGGGGUCCAGAGGAGAGGAGCCUCCUGCAGGGACAGCAAAGCUGACGAGAGGACAACAUAAAGCCACUUCUGUCUUUACCUCGCAUUGCCUUUGCACCACGUCCAUUUGGGUGCGGUGCAAAGCUUCUCCCGUUUUAUUCCUAAGUCUGAAACUGCCUAGCGGGAGGAGGGAGAGGAGUGUUCUUUCAUUGUCUAAGGGCCUCCCGUGUGCCGUAUGCUGGGAACUUCUCCUUUCUCAUUUUAUUUCCUUCACGCAACAACCUUGUAAGACGGUAAUUCUCAUCCCUGUAUUACAGAUGGGGCUCGGAGCUCAGUGUGGGGGCAGCUUGCGCAGCAGCCCCCUCCACCCUCUCGCCCCAGGUCACCACUCAGAGGUGCAGCUGAGAUUCCAGCCAAGGCCUGCAGAGCAGAAGCCUGUGCUCUCUGAGGCGUGGUCUCCCACGCGGCCAGCUGGAGGGCUCCUCCGGAAGGGUUUCCAGGGAGGCCAUGAGGGCUGUCUAGAUUGAUAGCGAGUUCCCCACAUCCUGUAACCCCUCCCUGCCAGGCCUGUGCCCGCCGCUCUGGCUGCAGGCAGGGAGCGAGGCUGGGCGCUAAUUUACACUUGUUUAACUACAGCUG